GAUGAACGCUGGCGGCGUGCCUAAUACAUGCAAGUCGAACGGAAAGACGCGGCGCUUGCUUCUCUGUUGUUAGGGGAAGGCGGGUGAGUAACGCGUGUAUACCCUCCCUGUCAGACUGAGAUCACUUCGAGACUGCGGCGCUUAUCCCGUAGGAUAUUUUGCUCCACGUGGUUGAAUAGUGAGAGUCGGUGUUGGUGGCACUUAUAGAUGCAUCCGCGCUGCAUUAGCUAGUUGGUAAGGUAACGGCUUACCAAGGCAACGAUGCAUAGCCGACCUGAGAGGGUGAGCGGCCACACUGGAACUGAGACACGGUCCAGACUCCUACGGGAGGCAGCAGUAGGGAAUCGUCCGCAAUGGGCGAAAGCCUGACGGAGCAACGCCGCGUGAGUGAUGAAGGUCUUCGGAUCGUAAAACUCUGUUAUUAGGGAAGAACAUAUGUGUAAGUAACUGUGCACAUCUUGACGGUACCUAAUCAGAAAGCCACGGCUAACUACGUG
rnacentral:rRNA from 1 species